UACGGGGGGGGCAAGCGUUGUUCGGAAUUACUGGGCGUAAAGGGCUCGUAGGCGGCCAACUAAGUCAGACGUGAAAUCCCUCGGCUUAACCGGGGAACUGCGUCUGAUACUGGAUGGCUUGAGUUUGGGAGAGGGAUGCGGAAUUCCAGGUGUAGCGGUGGAAUGCGUAGAUAUCUGGAGGAACACCGGUGGCGAAGGCGGCGUCCUGGACCAACACUGACACUGAUGAGCGAAAGCCAGGGGAGCAAACGGG
rnacentral:rRNA from 1 species